rnacentral:lncRNA from 1 species
GGUGGGUGAGUAGAGAAGUGCAUGAUCGUCAUGCACGUGCCACUCGCAAAAGUGCUUGGUCUUGACACAAUCAUACUCUAGACGAAGCACCGGGAAGUCAAUAGUACUCCACCUGCCGUCUUGGGUGGAUGCAGAACAAUUGUACGAUGGAGCAUCUUCCAACCAACCCCCGCAGAUACCAAACUCAACCAACUUGAAAAGCGACAUGCGUUUUCUUCUGAAGUCCAUGGAUGGGUGGCUAAGUGUCCAAGGGUUCGACGACGCUGAAUGACAAUAAAACUCUAUAUCAUCC